rnacentral:ncRNA from 1 species
GACCGAUAAAGGUAAACCGUUCGACCUUAAGGCUACGAUUAAGGUCGAUCCAAUUCUUGGACCGAAAGGACGGGGCACAAAGCCACAGGCCUAAACCUAUGCCACUGUAAGUGGGAGGGCAAGGCAGUUGGGUUGCCGAA